AAAUGAAGGGAGUAUAAUAUACGAUAUUGUGCACCACAGAGGGUAUGCUCUAUGAGCAGCCUCAUGCACCAUGUGUGCCAUUAAAGCUUGACCGAAAUCUAAACAUUGACAUGGUCCCAUAAACCAUGGCACCGUCGGAACCUUGCUAGGAUUUGCAGCUGACUGAGCCUGUGGUUUUGGUAAAACCACUGGCAAUGUCGUUGUCAGUGUCAAGAUCCCCUCGCUUGUACGCAAUGAUGGGCUCUUGCUAAUCACUUGUGACGCACUUGUCCAAAUCCAAAUCCUCCUUCCUCUCUAAUCUGGUACCACCAAAUCUAACGAUAAAUGAUUGGGUACCACGUGGCGAUCCCCCGUUUGCCCCUGUGAGGCGAUGCGGACAUGGAAUGCAAGGCUGGCAAGAAGAAAAUAUCCACCCACCGAGUUGCCUCUUGAUCAAGGAGCCGAUGGUGGAUGGAGGAGCCGCCGAGUGCCGCUGCCCUACGUCAACGUCAGGUGGUGCUUAAAGCGAAGGCCAACACUCGGUCUCCGUGCCCCGUUCAAGAUUCCGGCGUCGGUUGCGUGCUGCUUGGGGGUCCAUCACCAAGGCUAGGUGUUUGUGGAAUUGCCUGCCUGCCUGCCUCCUUUGCAACUGCAGCGGCAGCGGCAGUGGCAGCGCCAGCGGAGCAAGGAAGGCUAAGGCUAGGGGGAGCAGCAAGGGAAGGACGACCAUGCCGCGGGGGCUGGCGGCGUACAUGGUGGACAUGGUGUGGGCGGUGCUCGCCGGGUGGGUGUCGGCGUGCCUGCUGGUCGCCAACGAGAUCGCCCGCGGCAUGCGUGCCGGGGAGAUCGGCCCCUUCGUUGUGGGGUGAAAAAAUCUCGUUUCGGCUCAUCACUUCUGAUUCAUUCCUUCAUG